CUUAUACUCCUUCCGUAUCAAAAUUCUUGUCUUAGAUUUGUCUAGAUAUAAAUCUAUCUAGUCACAUUUUAGCAUUUUGAUACAUUUAUUUCUAGACAAACCUAAGACAAGAAUUUUAGGACGGAGGGAGUAUUUA
rnacentral:pre_miRNA from 1 species